GUACCUCCUGCAAGUAUAUGAUGAAUAAGGAUCGGCUAACUCCGUGCCAGCAGCCGCGGUAAUACGGAGGAUCAAGCGUAUCCGGAUUUAUUGGGUUUAAAGGGUGCGCAGGCGGAUCAAUAAGUCAGGGGUGAAAAAUUUCAGCUUAACUGGAAUCGUGCCUUUGAUACUGUUGGACUAGAGUAUAAUCGACGUGACUGGAAUGUGAUGUGUAGCGGUGAAAUGCUUAGAUAUGUCACAGAACGCCAAUCGUGAAGACAGGUCACGAAAUUAUUACUGACGCUCAUGCACGAAAGCGUGGGGAUCAAACAGGAUUAGAUACCCUGGUAGUCCACGCUGUAAACGAUGAUUACUCGUUGUUGGGUAGUGAUGCUCAGUGGCUAAGCGAAAGCGAUAAGUAAUCCACCUGGGGAGUACGAUCGCAAGGUUGAAACUCAAAGGAAUUGACGGGGGCCCGCACAAGCGGAGGAGCAUGUGGUUUAAUUCGAUGAUACGCGAGGAACCUUACCCGGGCUUGAACGUAAGACGAAUAUAUAAGAGAUUAUAUAGCCUUCGGGCGUCUUGCGAGGUGCUGCAUGGUUGUCGUCAGCUCGUGCCGUGAGGUGUUAGGUUAAGUCCUGCAACGAGCGCAACCCUUACACUUAGUUGCCAGCACGUUAUGGUGGGAACUCUAAGUGAACUGCCUACGCAAGUAGAGAGGAAGGUGGGGAUGACGUCAAAUCAGCACGGCCCUUAUGUCCGGGGCUACACACGUGCUACAAUGGUAUGUACAGAGGGCAGCCACCUGGUGACAGGGAGCUAAUCCUCAAAGCAUAUCUCAGUUCGGAUUGGAGUCUGUAACUCGACUCUAUGAAGUUGGAUUCGCUAGUAUCGCGCAUCAGCCAUGGCGCGGUGAAUACGUUCCCGGGCCUUGUACACACCGCCCGUCAAGCCAUGGAAGCCUGUGGUACCUAAAGUCCGUGCCCGCAAGGAGCGGCCUAGGGUAAAACCGGUAACUGGGGCUAAGUCGUAACAAGGUA
rnacentral:rRNA from 1 species